GCGGGCUAGCUCACCUGGGGGUGGGACCUCUCUUACACGGAGGCCGUGGCUGGUUCGAUUCCAGCAGCCCGCAC
rnacentral:tRNA from 1 species